CUGGAAUGGUGUGAAGAAAGGAGACUUCCAUGCAGAAGGAGAUUCUAAGCCUCUUUUAAUACCUGGAGUAUCAGCCAAUCUGACAAAAACAGCUAAUGAGGAUCAUUAUUGUAUGUGCAAAAUCGUGAAGUCUGUACUCAUAUUAUCAUGGAUGAUUCAUGAUUGACAUUGUCAUAAGCAGUGUUACCCUAAAUGUUUAAACAGAGUAAACGGUCAUAGCUAUUUAUUCGGCUAAAUGGUCAUUUAAACAGACUAAAUGGUGAUUAAACGGGGUAAACGGCUGAUUAAACGGAUACGGUAAGCCAUUGUGUAGCGUGUACACAACGUGUACACAGGCUAAACGGCCGUGUACGCGAACAGUGGUCACAAGAUAAUUUAAAAUUCAAAUGUAAAUUUUACUCUAUAAUGGCUUUGAUAGUUUACUUUGCAGUAAUAAGUACCAACAACUGAACGGAUUGUAAAAUGUGAUCAAUAAAUUAACCUCAGAACAAUGGAUUUAAUUCUGAAAAUAAAUUUCAGUACAGCAUGCUAAAAUCUAGAUUAAUAGGGAAAUUUAAUAGGUGACUUGAUCACGAGGAAAUUCUGAUUUGAGCUGCCUUAAAUAAAUCAUGAAGCACUUCGCUUGGAAUUUCCCUUAGAGUUUACACCAGGUUAAACAGUGCUGCGGCUCUAUCCAAGUUGGGGAAUAUUCACACAAUUAACUGCAAUUUGUAUAAAUCAGGAGAAAAAGUAACAAGCGGUUUUGCUGUACUGGGGAGAAUCACAUGGUUCAUGCUGGUACCCCACAAAACUGAGCAAAAAUUUCAAAGAGCAUUGAUGGUUUGAUUUGCAACUACCAGCUGCAAAUACUAAUAGCGUAACUUCAGGAUUCGUGAAUCAAACAUUCAUGGAAACUUCGCACUAAGCAAAACAUAGAAGAGAAUCCAACUUACAUGUUCACAUACUCGUAAUCUGCAUCAAUGCAGGGUAUAGAUUUCUCAACGAGAAGUUCAGAUGGCUUUGAUCUAGAAAAUAUUAUAUCUUUAGAGUUAGACCAAGCCUUUGCACUGGUAUUUAGCCUCUGACUUUCAUAAUUUGGACCAUGCUUAGGUGUAUUGAGGUUGUUGACACUGCUAUCAGUAAGAAUCCCUGCAGAAUGCUGCAUUAAACAAUACAUAGAAGAACAGGAUAAGACAACAAAUGCAAAGAUACAUGAUUGCAAGUUAUAUUUCAAGAUUAAGACUAAGUGCUUUCAGUUUAAGAAACUUUAUUACUAAAUUGAUUUGGCAAGGUGGACCUCCAAUAGAGGAAAUCCAUCACUCAUCAAGCCUAUGACUUUUAAUGUUUUAUCAUUGAAUAAACUAAUAUUGAGUAUAAAUAGACAACUAGUAGACUGAAAGUACGUACUAAACUGUUUGUGGAAUCACUGUUCACAGUGGAACAUCUCUUCCUUCUGUGAAAUGGUUUACCUUUGCAUUGCCUUCAUGUUCUCCCUGAUCAGUAAUUUGAUUUAAAUUUUCUAUGUUUUCUUGAGAAAGCUUGAGCUUCUUUUGAAAUGCAGUUUUCCUUGUCGGUGAAACUAAAUCAACAAAAUCAUCAGGAGUAUCCAUGAAAGAUUUCCCAAUUCUUGUAGAGGACAUGACUGACCUCCCACAAUCCUUUUCAGUAUUCAAUCUCUUUUCAUUUCUUAUAUCAGGACUUGGAGAUGAGAGAUCCCUUGGCCGUUUUUUCAUUAUGGAUGGGGUGCACACAAAACUUUUGGCAGCAUUUUUUAGCACAGCAUCAGGACUACCAUCACGAGUAGGGGAGCCCCACAAUCUUACUGGGGUAGGGAAAUUCAAGGAUGACCUCAUCAACUCUCGAAUGCCAAGAGGACUGUAUUCUGGGAGAUCACUAGAGGUUACAAGCUCGCAGCUGACAAAGGGAACUUCAAAACUUGCAAAGCAAGGAGGUUGUAGGCUCCAAACAUGAUUGUUCAAGAUCAACCAGCUGUUUCUUUUCAGAAUCUGGAUCACCUGAAGAAUUGUGGCAUGUUUUAAUCUCCAAAUCUUGGUGAGAAACAGGAUAGCGACUCGUCUCAAAUUUGACAUCAGAUGCAUUGGAAGCGCCAUCUGAAGAAAUGAAGGAUGGUGGCAAUGAUGUUACAGAACUCUGAUAAUACAAAGGGUCGCCCAUCAUUGUUGCAGGUUCAGAUGUCUGCAAUGAUGGAUAAAGUGGUGCUGAAAAGUUGCUUGCAGCUUCAGAAGGAUGUGAAAUUGGUUGAAUGGAAGUAUUCUGCCACUGUUCAGACUGGAAACAAUCCCCAUUUUUUACGCCCACUUCACACAUCAUAUUUAUGUUAUUCUCACAUCCAGGAACACUAGGUAAGAUGGAAACACAUGGUGUUACAGCAUAUGGUAUCAAAGAUACCCCAUCAUUUUCUGAACUAUGCAUAAUCUGUGUGUCCUGAAAUUGACCUGUAAGCUCAUUGGAUGCCUGGCUAUCUGUUAUCACAAAAUUGUUUGGCACUUCAUCUAUGUCAACAUGCAAAUCCAUUCCUUGAGAAAA